rnacentral:rRNA from 1 species
UGUGUAGGCGGUUAUGUAAGAUAGCGGUGAAAUCCCGGGGCUUAACCUCGGAAUAGCCGUUAUAACUAUGUAGCUAGAGUUAUGGAGAGGAUAGCGGAAUACCCAGUGUAGAGGUGAAAUUCGUAGAUAUUGGGUAGAACACCAGUGGCGAAGGCGGUCUACUGGGCACCAACUGACGCUGAGGAGCGAAAGCAUGGGGAGCGAACA